AGUCCCAGGCAGCAGUUGCAAGAGGCCAGCCACCAUCUCCUACGACCACGCGGAAGAGGGGCUGAUGGCGAGCAUCGAGCGGGAGUACUGCCCCGCUCGGGAGGACAGCGCGCCCCGGCCCCCGGCCAGGCCUCAGAGGCACCUGCUGGCUGGGUCUCUCCCCGCUGGCCCAGAGCUCUAGCAGGAGCUGAGCCGCCUCCAAAACACAGUCACUCCCAGAUACUUCAGAGCUGACCUUUCAAAUUCGCUUUCAGACAGUGCGGCCCAGGGCCAGCUACUGGCUGUCACGGUUGCUGGGGGGGCGGUGAUCAGCUGUGCAGACCAGGUCAGGAGGCAGGUGGUGCUGACCCACAGGUGCAUGGGCUGGGGCGCAGGCGCCUCCUCCCCACCGUGGGGAGCCUGCCAGGUUCUUCUGCAGCCUGAAGUGUGUGCCCCUCUUGGUUGCCCGCUCUCCACUGUGGGGAGGGCUCACAAGGCGUGAGUGAGACAAGCGAGCUUUCCUGGCAUCUGUGCCACAGCAUUUCUGGAAGGUUCUGCUGUGGAAGGUGCACCUGUGCUGCUCCCUCAAGCCUCAGGCCCAUCUCUCCAGGUGAGGCCAAGUCAGCUUAGUGCCUCUUAACUCCCCAAGGAGCAGCCUGGGGAUGCUGCUGGGCUGGGCAGCACCUGAGGGUCUGUGAGUGUAACCAGCUCCCAGCCCAGGCCCAAGCUCUGAAGCCCCCCACCACACUUUGAGGAGCGAGGACCCCAGCUCUGAUCCUAGCCCUUGACAGACUUGCAGUGGGAGGUAGGGUUCAUCACUGCCUCUAGAGGGGCCUCAGUUUCCCUCUCUGGAAAAUCAGCUCUGGCAACUCUGGGAGGCCAUCCCCAGCUCUGACAAUCUGGAACUGUGCCAGUCCAGGCGGCCACGGCGGUCCCCCUGCCCUAGGUACAGCACUGCCUUCCCUGUGGGGAGCCAGCGCUCAGGUCCCAUGGCGGGAGGGUCUGCCUGCCACCGGCUUUCCAGUUCUCUCUUUUGCAGGCAGCUUGGCCAGUGCCUUUGGGGCUUUUAAAUUCUAUUCCCACUUGGGUGGAAGGUGGGAAACCACAGCAAUGAGGCAGGAAGAGCCUUGGAAUGUUACUAGUUGCAGAUGGGAAAACUGACCUGCCCAGGACGCCCUUGGAACAGGGGCGGAGCUCCAGCUGGAGGGAACGCCUGUGUGGGCCAGCAGGGCUGGGGCUUGGGCCCAGGUGCAAGGACAACUUCGAGGGAGAACUGCAGGAUGAAUAGCAGUCCAGGGAGGCAGGAGGCAGGCGGCAGGCUCCUCCCCAGCAGCCUCUGAGGGCAUCGGGACAGAGGGGGAAGGAGGGAACAGCGGCAGCUUCUACUGAAGCCAGUACAAGCCUGGUUAUCUGGUUUGACCAGCCAGCACAGUGCCCCCUGCCCCGGGCAUCCUUGGUUUCCUGAGAAGAGCUCCAGCCCUCAAGUCCUGAGAACACGGCAGAGCAGGAGCAUCUCGGGAACCAACAGCCAGCUCCUUGGCUCUGUCCCCAGACCCACAGGCCUGCUGUGGCCAUCAGCAAAUGGGCAUUUCCUUGACCUUUUAUUUGAGAGUGCCUUUGACCAGCUGUUCACAACCAGGAAACUCCAACUUCAAAGUCGGAGCUUGGAGCUUGCAGUGGCCCCCUCAAGGGCGUGGCUCAAACCCUCCCCAGAGCCGGGAGCCAUUGCCCAUCCAAGCCCAACUGUUUCUUUGGUAUAAAGAUGGAAGUCAUUACUAUACUUUAAUAAUAAUGCAAAUACGUCUUUUAAAAUAAGUUAACAUUUUAUUUUGUACCACCAAAUGGAUCAGGCUUUGAAUUUAAUCAUGUAAAUGUUUAUAGUUUUAUGUCAUUUUGUUAAAACGGGAUGCUUUCAAUCGGUUUCCAAGAAAAAGAUGAUACCUCGGCAUUUUCUGGUGGAAAACGUGUAAUACUCCCAAUGAGAUCAAAGCGUUAGGGAAAAAGUAAUUCAGAAGUCGUUACAAGCUACGUCAAUGUCAAAGUGAAUGCACUUCAUCAACACUAAGAACUCACAGGAAUUGUUCUCGUGUCUUUGAAAAAGUUUUUCCUGAAUUUGGGGAAAGUGUCUUCUGAACAGCAGCUAGCCAAAUGAAGCAGUGUGUGUACGGCAGCUGCAGGUGAAACAAAAAUCAAAAAGAGCAAAUAAAAUGAUGUGUGCCACGGGGCUCUGUCCCGUGAGAUGGAGGGGCUGUGCCUGGAAGUGGAGGGUGGUUGUCGCUGUAGCCUGCGGCCCGGCCCGAGCCUGUACCCGUGCCUCCUGUGUGCCAGGCACCACCUCAGGCAUCUUCCUGGCUGCCUCAAGUUGCAUCUGAGCCUCAGCAUCCUGCUCAGCACUGCAUGGGGCGUUUGCUCACUGUCCUGCUCAGCACUGCAUGGGGCGUUUGCUCACUGUCCUGCUCAGCACUGCAUGGGGCGCUUGCUCACUGUCCUGCUCAGCACUGCAUGGGGCGUUUGCUCACUGUCCUGCUCAGCACUGCAUGGGGCGCUUGCUCACUGUCCUGCUCAGCACUGCAUGGGGCGUUUGCUCACUGUCCUGCUCAGCACUGCAUGGGGCGUUUGCUCACUGUCCUGCUCAGCACUGCAUGGGGCGCUUGCUCACUGUCCUGCUCAGCACUGCAUGGGGCGUUUGCUCACUGUCCUGCUCAGCACUGCAUGGGGCGUUUGCUCACUGUCCUGCUCAGCACUGCAUGGGGCGCUUGCUCACUGUCCUGCUCAGCACUGCAUGGGGCGCUUGCUCACUGUCCUGCUCAGCACUGCAUGGGGGAUUCGCUUACUGCCAGGGUAGGACUGUGGCUGGAAUCGAGGCAGAAAGAAAAACGUCUCAAAGGCAAAAAUGAUGCCUGUUACUGCCUGGGAGAAUCUUAAGUGACCACAAAAGUGUCUACUGGUUUCUUUUCUUUUCUUUUCUUUUUUUCACUUUUGAGACGGAGUCUUGCUCUGUCGCCCAGGGUGGAGUGCCACGGUGCUAUCUCGGCUCACUGCAACCUCUGCCUCCUGGCUUCAAGCAGUUGAGUAGCUGGGACUACAAGCAUUUUUUUUGUACUUUUAGUAGAGACAGGGUUUCACUAUAUUGGCCAGGCUGAUCUCAAACUUCUACCCUUGAGAUCCACCCGCCUUGGCCUCCCAAAGUACUGGGAUUACAGGCAUGAGCCACCAUGUCUGGCUGUGUGUCUCCCAGUUUCUGUAGUAUGAGAGUUCCUUGGAGAUGCUACAAAGCCCCAGGAACUGAGAAAACACUGUCCACGCCCAGCUCUGAGAAAUGCUGGGUGUGUUUUCUCGAGGAAGAAGCAGAGCCCCGCUGUUGCCCUCCUCCUGGCACGUGCAUUCCCAAGCCUCUCCUCACAGGCUCUUGGGCUUCUGGCCUCACCCAGGCAGGGGCCUCCUUCCCCAGCUGCUGUUGGCUCAGGCUCCCUGCACCUCCCUGAGAUGGCCCUUUCUAAGACAUUUUCCUUUGCUGUUCCAAAGACCUAGGGCCGCUUGUCCUCAUGGAAUGCUGCGCCUACUCACACAUGGUGCCUGGACACCUGCUGCUGACAUUGAUUGGUGGACCUGUGAGAGCACUCUCCAUUCCCAGGGGUGGGGUGCACGUGUGCAGGUGUGAGCACUUGGGAGAGCGUAAGGCUGUUGAAGAAGUGUAGCCAAGCACCCCACGGAAGAGAGAGUCUGGGGCUUUUUUUCUGUUUCCUUUCUGGCAAUAAUGAGGCAGGAGAAAAGUAUUCCCAGUUGCCAUUGAGGAGGAUAAAUCACAUUUGUGGCUGUAGCAGCUAGCUCGCUCUAGGAGGCAGCUCUGUAAUCAGACCUGUUGUGUGGUGAGGGUCUGGACCCCCUAGGGACAAAUCAGACCUUCAGAGGUGGGCAGGGCCUGUGCUGACUGGGGAUACGGCAGCCUUUAGUUUCUUUCUUUUUUUUUCUUUGUUUUUUUUAUUUUUUUGCUUUUUGUGCCUUUAGUUUCAAUAGUUAGGAAGGAAAAGAAGGAAGGAGACCUAGACCACUCCUUUUUGGAGGUAUGGAUCUGUGGGAAAGAAAGGUGGCAAUUUAAGUCCACAAGAGGUGACAUCUGACUAGCACCUUUGUGUGGCUGGGGGCCUUGGGAUGUGGCCACAUGGGAGACAAAGGGUGGGCCCUGAAAUCUGCACCCCCGAGAAAUGAGCGUGUGGCUGCCUGUGGUGCUGAGGGGACAAGUAUAUUCUUCUGUGAUCUUGGCCUCCAACAAGGCCAUGGGCCUGCAGCCCGUUAACAGUGACAGGAUGUGGCAGCAGGAACUCGGCAGCAGCUUGGCCAUCACAGCUCUGUUCCUGGAGAGUAGAAGUUAGAAGGUCCCGACUUGGAGACCAGAGUCUUGCUCUGUUACUCAGGCUGGAGUGCAGUGGUACAAUCUUGGCUCACCGCAACCUCUGCCUUCUGAGUUCAAGUGAUUCUCCUGCCUCAGCCUCCUGAGUAGUUAGGAUUACAGGUACCAGUCUUGGAAGUCUCGCCCAGUAAAUGUGCUGUGGGCAAAUCUGUCUCAAGGAUCUCUUUCCAGGGAACCUGAUCCAAGACACACCGACAUCGUCACCACCUGACAAAAGAUCUAGUGGGUCCAGCAGGAAGAGUGACCAAUGUGCUGUUAGUUCUCGGGGGGGGGGGGGGCAGUGAGGCGAGCACAGCUGCAGCAGGAGGUGCGCUCAGGUGAGGCCGAGGGGGCCCUUGUGACUUUGGCUUUUUUUGGCAAGAGAUGGAAAGCCACUGGGGGUUUCAGGCAGAGCGAAAUCACCUGACAUUUCUCCAUAGCGUCAGUGGCUGGUGAGCACAGACUGAAGGGGGUCCAGGCAGAAGUGGGGAGGGGUGGGCUUAAUCCAGGAGACACAUGAUGGUGAAUCGGAGGUGACACAAUCGUUUAUGGCAAGCUUCCUCUCCUUACCCUUGCAGUCUCUAGUCACUUUUUCCGCUUGUAGAUUUUGCUCGCCAGCCCCAGAAAGAUGGCUGGAGGCAGGGGCACCGCGUUCUCUUCCAUGAGAUCCACAAUGUGGCUGUGGCCAUCUUCCUCAUAUUGCAAGAACACUGCCAGCUCCUCGAGUAGUGCCUUCACCCGGGCCACCUGCUCGGCCUCCUGCCCGCAGUUCUCCUGCAGGAUCUGGUUACUGCAGACACUGAACCAUCAGCCAACUGCAUUUGUGGCCCCGGAUGUUAGUGCCAACUUUGCUGGUCACAUUGGGAUCCCCAGAGAGGUCAAGAUGAUCAUCCUCAAUCUGAAAGGACUCUCCCAUCUCCAGCAGGAUCUUCCUGGCUGCAGCUCCAGAAUGGCAGAAGGAGUAGAAAGUGGUCUUGUACUUGACAGUAGAUUUGUACCUCUUUUUUUCUGAGAUAGUCUCACUCUGUCGCCCAGGCUGGAAUGCAGUGUUAUGCUCUCAGCUCACUGCAACCUCCGCCUCCCAGAUUCAAGUGAUUCUCCAGUCUCAGCCUCCUGAGUAGCUGGGACCACAGGAGCAUGCCACCACGCCUGGCUAAUUUUUUGUUUUUAGUGGAGAUGGGGUUUCACCGUGUUAGCCAGGAUGGUCUCGAUUUCCUGACCUCAUGAUCCGCCCACCUCAGCCUCCCAAAGUGCUCAGAUUACAGGCGUGAGCCACCACGUGCAGCCAGAUUUGUACGUCUUUUCAGUGAAUCCACCAAGAUCCACAUCGCCCUGGGGGGCUGUAUGAGGUCCAGGUUCUGCCCAAUCUCAGUCUGAUAGGAACUCUGCAGAAGAGCUCCAUCAGGCUCAGGUAACAGGGCUGCUCCUGGCAAUAGGCAGUAGAUAUAUGCUUCCGGUAGAUAUAUGCAUAGCAUCAUUGAUAGCAUCUAAACUGACUCCUGGCUUCUGAUAUCAGCAGAUCUGCCCCUGGCGAGUGAGGGCUGAGUCCAUGAUGUCAUCUGCCACUGGAAGAGAGCUUGUAGCACUCCCACACAGCAGCCCACAGUCGGGCUCGCUGGAGACUAUUGGUAUCCUGUUUCCUCGGCGCCACCAGCUCCCGGAACACUACUAGCACCGUCCAGCCCUGGUGACGCUUGCCUCCAAUGGCACUGGAGGACCUCCUGGAGCCAGGCAAUAGUAUCUCCUGUCUCUGGGUACCUUAUCUCAUCCUCAGUUAGCACCCUAGCCAUCUGGGAGAAGUGCGGAAUGAAAUCCUGCUUUUCUUGGGCAUAAACAUCUAUUUCUGGUCUCCAUUCAUUCUGAGGAGCAGCAAACGGCUCUAUUUGUGGACAUGUGUUCCUCCUUGGUGAUGCUGGAUGUUUUAAAAGGAGUCGAGGACCGUGAUGGGAUGGGGGGUGAGAGAAGAGUUAAGGUCUCGCAAGGAUGUAUGCACUCUUCUUUUUAAAGACAGUGGGGUCUGGCCAGGCAUGAUGGCUCAUGCCUGUAAUCCAAGCACUUUGGGAGGCCAAGACAGGCAAAUUACAAGGUAAGGUGUUCAAGACCAGCCUGACCAAUAUGGUGAAAGCUCGUCUCUACUAAAAAUACAAAAAUUAGCCAGGCGUGUAAUUCCAGCUACUCAGGAGGCUGAGGCCGGAGAAUUGCUUGAACCUGGGAGGCGGAGAUUGCAGUGGGCCGAGAUCACACCACUGCACUCCAGCCUGGGCAACAGAGCGAGCCCCCAUCUCAAAAGCAAGCAAACAAAAGACAACAGGGUCAACUGUGAGAAUUGUAGGGUCAAGUGAGGAGAAGAUGAGGCCCUUGGUCAUUUUAAGUGUGCAGUGUUAACUGACCAGUGCCAAGUAGACAGGUGGAUACAGGGACGCCAACUCAGGACAGAAGUGCAAAGGAGAGCCCCGUGGGGGCGUUUCUGGUAGAGAUGCUGUUUUCAUCUAAGUGGUGAGGCUGGGAAACAUCGCCGGGGACUGCAGCAUGAGAACUUAGGGCAGGCAGAUGGGGGGACGGGGCAGGUGGCCUUCAGGGCACCCCCAGCUCCAGCCGAUGCCACUGACAGGCCUGAGAAUUGAGCCCAUGAAAGCCCUGAGCACACCCCAGGAGCACCUUCAGUGGUGUGGAUGCAAGGCCCCCUUAGAGGGCUGGAGAGACAAUGUGCAGAGCCAGAGUGAAGCCUGCGUUCCAGGAUGUGCUUUGCAACCCUGGGCUGGGGAGGAAGGAAGUACACAAGACACUUCCAAGCACUUCUUCCAGAGUGGCUGGAAAACCACUUUGAAUUCUACCUCUAUGCAGCCACCCCCGGCACAGGAAGGGCGUGAGCACCGAGGGCCACAGGGUUACCCGGCACACAACUGGGUCUGCCAGAGUGGCCACUUCACACUUUGGCUUUUUGAGACAGGGUCUUGCUGUGUCGCCCAGGCUAGGCUGCAGUGGUGUGAUCAUAGCUCACAGCCGCCUCCAAUUCCUGGGCUCAAGGGAUCCUCCUGGCUCAACUCACCAAAGUGCUGGGAUUACAGGUGUGAGCCACCACACCUGGCUCUCUUCACCCAUUUCUUUCAGAAAGAACCCUCUGAGGAACCCGAAGAAACAGAAUAAAACCCCAGAAAACAGAGAGGAGAGAUGAGUCUGGGCCAAUACACAAUGAAUUUUAUAGACUCUUCCAAAUAGUCUCUACUUACAGUUAUGACACAGGACACACAUCCAGUUUAAAAUCAAGUUUUAUAUGAUUCAAAGAAAAGUUACAUUACACAUACCCAUUUAAAUAAUAAGUCAAAGUCUGUUACAUAAAACAUAAUCAUGAAACAUUUUAAGUCUUACAAUUCAAACUACUUAAAAGGCUCAAAGUCACAAAAGAUCAAGCAAAACUGCUCAGGCAAUAAAGUGCACUAGGGGGGCCUGCCUCUCCGGGAGCCUCCAGCACCCAGAGCCGCUGCCGAGGGGCUCCACACAGAAUCCACAAACAAGGGUAACUGUUCUGCUGCUUCGAACAGUUUUCAGACAGGAACUCUUUCCAACUUAAAACCUUUCAACAGACAAAUGGAGGGGGAAGGAAGAUGGUUUAAAGAAAGCAUUUCCAAAUGUAAUCAGGAAUGGAACUGUAAAAUUUAAACCAUCUUCAACAUGUAGCUCUUUCUUAGAAAUAGCACUACUUGGAGAAUGUUCUGUGAUAUGCAACCAAAUACUCAAAGACCUUAUCCACCAGAAUACUAGCAGGACUAACGACUCUGCAUGUCAUAAUUAAGAAAAAAUCCAAAUUUGAUGCCAUUUGUAGCAUAGUGGGAAAUGCUGAUGCCAGUUUGGAUGAGUGGAAGGAAGGACUGGGUGAUGAGGACACAGGAACAAUGCACGCUGUGGCUCUCCCACAGCUGCACUGCCUCAUAACGACAGGACCCACCUACGGGAGUGUACAAACACACGGAAGCCUCCUAAAAACAUACACAUUUGUGUCAAAUAACUGAUACUAAGGGGCAAGUUAACGGGUACCAAGUAACACACAGUGAAUGACCAGGUGGGGAUUUUAUCAGACUACAAAGAACAAAACACAAAACCUCAUUUUAUUCAGUGUUUCACCUUCCAUCAUUUUAACAAAGAUGAAUGCCAAUAACUUACCAGCAGAGACAAAAGCUACAUACAUACUGCACAAUCAAAACAAAUCCCCAGGCUACCAAUCAGUGCAGCAUUCUGCAUGCUUCUACCCUUAUUCCACUGCCUGAACUUCCACCGUUUAGCAAGAACCAGUCUCAGUGGCUUCCUGAACGCAGGUGGCCACAUUCUCUUAUCCAGGAUAUGCGCUCACACCAUUUAAAAGUGUCAUCCAUCAUCUAUUUUCUAGGUAGACUGUAAAACAUACCAUUCCAGGUAAUUCUGUUUGAUCAAAACAAUUUCUUUCAAACAAAAGGGCCAGGCACAGUGGCUCAGGCCUGUAAUCCGGCCGAGGCGGGUGGAUCAUGAGGUUGAGAUUGAGACCAUGGUGAAACCCCGUCUCUACUAAAAAAUACAAAAAUUAGCUGGGCAUGGUGGCACGCGCCUGUGGUCCCAGCUACUCAGGAGGCUGAGGCAGAGGUUACAGUGAGCCGAUAUUGCGCCACUGCACUCCAGCCUGGCGCUUGGCAACAGAGCAAGACUCUGUCUCAAAAAAAAAAAAGACAAAAGGGCAGUUGGGUAGUAUUACUGCUAUUUAGCGUAACUUGCAUUUCCUCGAGUUCUAGUAUUUGGUAAAUAGAGGAAGCAGAACCUUGGCACUGCCUGCCUGCACAUGCAUCUCACCCUCGGCUAAGCUGUUCUCUGGUGGAAAGUUCAUCCCACCAACAUGGACACUUCUUCACUGAGAAGUUACUCUACCCACAGUGUAGUAGGGAUAAGGCCACAGCAAAACAAGUCAACUGACGAAAAGUGGCUGGAUUUGAGUGUUUUAUCUUUUUUGGUGUUUUAGGUACAAACAAGAAACUAAAUGGUUUGCGUUCAGCAGGGCCAUGGCCAAGACGAUUCCACACAGACUGCAGCCUGCAGCUGCUCCUGCUCCCUGGGAUGUGCCCAGUGGCUCAUGGUGCUCUCUGGGGUACAUCCUUCACAAGACCCACCAUGGACACAGCUCACUAGUUUUAGUCAACCACACUUACAGUUCUUGGGUGACAGGAAUGGCUGCCUAGAAUUUCCUUGAAAAUGUUAUGAAGAAGCUGAUUGCAAAGUUUAUUUUUCCCUUUUAAGAGGCCCUUAUUCAACCAGUUCCGAUUCCAAAAAGAUCUAAAAGGCCAGAUAACCUGUGAUUUUUUUUGGUGGAGUAACAUGUCAAAUUUACUAAAACGGGUCAUCAUAAAAAACUUUGUUAUUAAACACUGAAAAGAAGGCUGCAAAAUAAUCUAUCUAGAAACUGGUGAUUUGAGCACCAAUAUAAAUAUUUUUAUAAAAAACAGUAUAAAAAUUAGUACCCUGUCUUAUUUCUACAAAACAUCCAUAGAAAGGUUGUAAAAAUCCAGAUUUUGUAAACUUUAUUGCCGAAAUAUUUGUUUGAAUGCUGGUGAUUUCGAUUACCAAAUUUUCUACCAUUUCUUUAAAAAGAAAAAAAAAAAAAAACUUCUGAAACUACAAAA